GAGGCUCCUACUGCUUCUGCUGGUGGCGGCGUGGGUGGUGGUCCACAUCAAGGCCUCUGCCAACGUGGGCAGCGUGCCCAGCAAGAGAUUAAAGAUGCAGUAGGCCACAGGGCCGCUGCUCAAGUUCCAGAUUCGUGUAUCCUGAAAGUACAGGCGGGUAUUUGAAGAGUACAUGCAGGUUAUUAGCCAGUGGUAUCCAGACAUCUGCAUUGAAGGAGAGAAUUAUCUCCCUCAACCAACUUAUAGACACAUAGCAUCUUUCCUGUCAGUCUUCAAACUGACAGGAAAUUAUUAAUAGGUUUAAUAAUUGAUGGCAAAGAUCCUUUUGCUUUUUUCGGCAUGCCAGCUUCUAGCAUCUGGCAGUGGGGCCAAGAAAAUAAGGUUUAUGCAUGUAUGAUGAUUUUCUUCCUGAGCAACAUGAUUGAGAACCAGUGUAUGUCAACAGGUGCAUUUGGGAUAACUUUAAAUGAUGUGCCAGUGUGGUCUAAGCUGGAAUCUGGAUAUCUUCAUUCUAUGCAACAACUUGUUCAAAUUCUUGACGAUGAAAUGAAACUCAAUGUGCAUAUGGAUUCAAUCCCACAUCUUCAAUCA
rnacentral:lncRNA from 1 species